CGGAGCCAGAGAGUAAGUGCAAGAUGGAAGCCACCAUUAUUGAAACGUAAUCUUGGAAGGAGCAUACAAAAUGACAUCACUCCUACCAUAUUCUGCUACGUAAAAUCCUAUAUGACAAAUUCUGAAAAUGGAUUUCAUCAUGGGCUCCUCCU
rnacentral:lncRNA from 1 species